UAAAUUUGCUGCCAGUUAGAAUAAAAAACGUGCGGAACUAAAUUGAAAAGCAAGUCCUUGCGCUCAUCAUCGGAUAGCACUCGCAUUCCAAAUCGUAUUGUGAGGCUCAUACGGGGAGGGACCCUUCUCAACAGCUAACUCGUACAGUCGGAAUGGAAUUUUUACUCCUUACAGGAAUAAUAUUUCUGAGCACUUUGCGGGGUGAUGACGCUGCAACCACAAGUAACCUAUGCGCCUUCCCUCCUCUUGCUCGGUCAGCGAAGCCUACCGUCAAUUCAGU